UACGUAGGUGGCAAGCGUUGUCCGGAAUUAUUGGGCGUAAAGCGCAUGUAGGCGGUUUGGUAAGUCGGUCGUGAAAAUGCGGUGCUUAACGCCGUAUGGCGAUCGAAACUGCUGAACUUGAGUGCAGGAGAGGAAAGGGGAACUCCCAGUGUAGCGGUGAAAUGCGUAGAUAUUGGGAAGAACACCGGUGGCGAAGGCGCCUUUCUGGACUGUGUCUGACGCUCAGAUGCGAAAGCCAGGGUAGCGAACG
rnacentral:rRNA from 1 species